CAGGGGCUAUCAGACACCUGAGCCGGAGCCCCUCUCCCACUACCGCUCGCAGCGUUUCCCGAGCCCGUGUGUGGCAGCAGGGAAGAGGUGGACACUGAAGGAAGAUGGAAAUACUGGGAGGGAGCUAUGAGCCUCUGGUGAAACAAAGGUCCAGGAUGAGGAGGACAGAAGGUCCCAGCUGCUGCGUGAUUCCUGGCUCUGACUCUCCACAAACCUAGUAGACUGGAGCAACCCCCCUCACCUUCACUUAUCUAUGGAUGCCACCACUAUGUCAUGGCAGGAGAAAGGUAGCCAAUACACAUCUGUAGGAUUGGCACUGAACACAC